rnacentral:rRNA from 1 species
GACGAACGCUGGCGGCGUGCUUAACACAUGCAAGUCGAGCGGUAAGGCCCUUUCGGGGGUACACGAGCGGCGAACGGGUGAGUAACACGUGGGUGACCUGCCUUCAGCUCUGGGAUAAGCCUGGGAAACCGGGUCUAAUACCGGAUAUGACCUCAUGACGCAUGUUGUGGGGUGGAAAGCCUUUGUGCGGCUGGGGAUGGGCCCGCGGCCUAUCAGCUUGUUGGUGGGGUGAUGGCCUACCAAGGCGACGACGGGUAGCCGGCCUGAGAGGGCGACCGGCCACACUGGGACUGAGACACGGCCCAGACUCCUACGGGAGGCAGCAGUGGGGAAUCUUGCGCAAUGGGCGGAAGCCUGACGCAGCGACGCCGCGUGAGGGAUGACGGCCU